UGAUCCUGUCUGAUGACGUGAUCCUGAUACGACCUUCUUGCAAGUAAUAUCCUCCACAGCAGUCGCGAAAUGUACAUUAUCUUUUCAAAACUUGAAAAGCAGUCUAAUGGUGGAAGUGAAACAACUUUGUAAAAAACAAUUUUAUUCUAUUAUUUGUAGGAAGAAUAAAACAAAAUAACCAAAAAAAAAUGCUGCUCAAAGGGGGGGUUGCAACCCCAUCAACCCCUCCCCUGGAUCCGCCUCUGAAUAAGAGCAUUCAACAUCCAGCUAUUCCCCAACCCUCUAGACAUUCCAUGUUAGCUUACAUACACUAGAUAGACAAAUUCUAUUAUUCUUGCUGACCAAAAGAAUCUGGGGCUCCAUUCCCGGCUUUAACCGGGAAACAGUGUCGCAAAAAGUGCCUUCCCUUUGUCUCUUACUUUUGUCUAGAUCUGGAAACGUUGCAUAGCCAAGGAGAAGAUUUUAUUUCCUGGCAACAUGGGUCAACUUUGUACCUCGCUAUGUCUUUGCUUGGCAGUGCAGGAAUCAAACGCUAUGGGACAGUGAACUUGGAGCAUAAUGCGGCGGGAUGCAGAUAGCGCUGUGGAGGACGCUUGUACUCUUAGCAACGACAGCAAUCAUCUAAACUUGGAUGUACAAGGACACUGAAGGGAAAUGGUACGAAUCAAUAAUGAACCCUGAUCAGCUGUUUAAAUCAAGCAGGAAUAAUGCACUGGACAGUAGGUUCUCGGCGUCAAUACCCACCAAAGUGCAUCACUUGUAUUCCUCUUCUAAGGCGCCAUUUGUCAACAACGGCGUCGAUCUUUUAAGUCUAACAGAUACAAACUUAGAGGAUGAAUUUGGCCAAUCCUAUAGUAGCAUAGGCCUAGAAGUGAGGACUCUGAGGAAGGCUCUCAAUUUACCAGUAGAUACCUUACCAAAGACUUGUGGUCUGACAUCAAACCAUUGGCCAAAUGAGCAUGCAAGCAGGACAAGCCAGAUGUUCCUUACUGAUAGUGGGUACUCAUCAAAAACGAAUCCUCAAAGUGAUGAGGCAGUGCAAAGUGUUACAGCAUCAAGAAAUGGUAAUGCUGCCAAUUAUUCAGCUGCCUUGGGAUUAGAAAGUCCUUUUGAUGUAAAAUCUAGCCCUGUGAGUAUGGAGUUAAACUCCAAGGAACAUCACCAGAAUUCUUCAAAGAUGUAUGAAAGGAGUCUAAAAAGUUCCCUUGAUGAGAGUGAAACUAAACGAAUGUUGCUGUUGGAAAAACUCAGAGAAGCUCACCUGGCAAUACAGAACCAAGCAGAAAAACUGGCAGCAACUGAGAGUGAGAUCUGCUUCUUGCGGGGACAGCUGAAGAGCAUGGGUAUAGAACUGGAGGGACUGCAGCAAGAGCUCGAUAGUUUGACAAUGGAAAAGAAGCGCCUUGAAGUUUUUAAAUCAGAAAAUUUAAAGAAUCGUGAAGCAAUCCUAAUAAGGGUGGAUGAUUUGGAUAAGGAGUUAAAAGUUCUAACUGCAACACACAAUGCCUUGAAACUUGAGGCAUCAAAGAAGGGAGCUACAUUAGAGGAAACAACGUUUUAUCUGACUACUCUUAAACAGGACAAUGACAAACUUCAGGAGGUUAACAAUGGUCUUGAGAAAGAGUUAUCUUCUCUAAGGGACAUUGUAUACCAACAUAGCAAGUCCAAUACGAAGACAGAGUUACUAAAUAAGGACUAUAAGAAAAUUCUUCAAGAAAAUGCAGUUAUUAAACAUCAGUUGUCAGAAGGUGUUAAAGCCACUGAAGAGUUAAAGAGGAAACAGGAUGAAAUGGGUCAAGAAAUUAUACAACUGAGAAUGGAGCGAGACAUCCAGUAUGGGAAAGUGAGUGUUCUGGAAGAGGAAAUCCUUCAUCGACAGCGGAACUACAACAACCUUGUAAACGAACAGGAAAGGUUACUGAAAGAAAAAGCAGAGCAGGACCAUAGGCUACAAAGGGAAAUUCAGGAUAGACUUUGCCUGAAAAUGGUUAACGAUCUCCUUAGAGAAGAGUCAUCAAAUGUUAAGGAAGCAUUUCAGAAGCUUGAAGAGUUCACUAAUUCUGUGGAGCAAAGAUCAAAAGAUAUGAGCCUGGAACUGGAUCAGUGUAGACCUGAAAACCCAACAGGCAACAUUGAAGAGGUGGUAAAUGAGAAAAGUCAGAAUGGAAGGCUUCUGUUGAAGAUUGAAAGUGCUGAAAGCCAUUGUGAAAACUUAAGAAGCCAAGUUGCAUCUCUCCAAGAAACCAACAGAAUAUUGAACAAGGAAACAGAAGAAAAAGAGAAACAACUACAGUUGAUGAAGAUGCGAGAAGAGACGUUAACUAAACUGCAAGUGUCCAAGUGUAAAGAGCUAAAAACAGAAAAUGAAACCUUGAAACACAGUUUAACCAUGAUCAGUAAAAAGAAUGAGGAACUUCAGAAACAGCUGGAGCAUCAAAAAGAAGAAAUGGAGCUGCUUAAGAAUCAGUUGAAAGAUUUAUCAGCUUCAGCUGCUGAAAGUAACGGUGAUCAAAGUGCUAGCAUUCAUUUCUUGCAAGAGGAGGUGGACAAAAUUAAGGAAACUGUAACAAGGUUAGAAUCUGAGAAAACUGUACUGAUAUCUGAACUGAACAAGCUGUGCAAAGAAAAGGAAGUGUGGGCUAUCCAACGGAGUGAACUGGAAAUGACACAAGCAGAGCUCAGUUCAGAAAACACUCAACUUAGAAGUGAAUUAAACAGCAAGCUUGCUGUGAAAAAUACAGAAAAUCAGAGCAUAGCCAGUGUCAAAAAGAAACUGGAACUAGAGAAAGAAGAGGCAGUAAAGAAGGUCAAGGACGAAAUGAAGGAACCUUUUGAUGAAGUUUGUCUUGAACUGAAGACUGUCAAGUCAGAACUCAGUAAAGUAUGGGACAUGCUUGAAAUCAAGGAGAAAGAGCUUGAGGAGCAGUCACAGGAGUUACAGCAUGAACGUGAACAGUCACAGACAUGGGCUGAGGAGUUAAUGAAGUUACGCAAAGAUUAUGCCGACCUCACUGCAAACACAUCUAGCAGAAGCCAAAUGAUUUCCACUCUUAGAGAUGAGUUAACACAGAGGUGCGACGAGAUCAUUGAGCUUGAAGCUGCACUUUCCUCUUUAAACCAGCAGAAAUGUAACUCCCUGAAGACAUCAACAGUCAAGAACAAAACCCACGAGCUAAAAAGAAGGAGCUCUGAUGGCGAUAUUAACAAGAUUCGCGAGUAUCCAGGAAAUUCCCACUCAAAGUGUAGUGAGGUCAGCAAGCUGACGGCUAGAAAUGCUCAUCUUAGUAGAAGAGUGGAUGAGUUAACAGUCGAGAGGGACUCGGCUCUACAAGACUCCCAAGACCUACUGAGUGGAAUGCAGCAACUGAGGGAGGCCUUUGAAGAAGAGAUUGAGAGAGAGCUGGAAAGGGAAAGAACCAAGUUUGAAAAGGAAAACCAUUUGUUACAAGCGCAGAGUGGAGAUGGUCAACAAUUGUCUGGAGCAAAGCCCAAACUCGAAAUGGAAGUCACCCGAUUAACAGCUCAGAAGGUUGCACUUGAAGUUAAAAGUAAAAAUCUGGAAUGUGAACGAGAUGAACUUCGUAACCAGGUGGAAGAGCUGUGUAGAAUGAGGACAGCAGCUGAAGAAAAAGCUGUACAGGUUGAUUCGGCUUUGAGUCCAAGGAGAAGAGAAAACAAAACGUCUUUGCGAAUGAGGAGCAAGAGUGUUGGUAUGAUGUCACCUUCUAUCCAAGAGAUGCCCAAUAGAUUGUUUCAACGUGUCUAAGGAGAGGUCAAGUGAAUGUUACCAUUGGCAUGCGCAAUUCUAAAUCUCCGCUAAGAACUAAGUUCACUGACAGAUGCGCAGCUGAAAACAUGACUGGAAGGCUGUCAGCAUCAACACCGAGACAUUAGAGAGUCCAGUAAGCCGCCUGAGCUGAUAAAUACGAGAAACAUGAUGUCCCAGUUAUUCGGUUCAGAAGCAAAGGAUAAUUCAAAACCAGAGGGGUGACUGACCAGUUGUAUACAGCGAUCUUCGACAUCUUAACUUUCGCAAACCAGCUAUGUCGCUUAAAAUACGUUAUCAGAAUUCUUAAGAUUCCCCGUGUGAUGAACUGUUUCCUUUACCUUAACCCUUGAGCCUGAUGUUGCAAAUUCGUAUAGUAAUUUGAAACUCGCUGAUACAUUGACCAAUGCGCUUCUAAUGUUGCAGUUCAAUGAUUAAGGAAGUAGAACCAAAGAACUUUUACGGGUACUUAAACCGCAUUGUUUUCGUAAAUAGUGUUCGUAAUAUACUUGACUGGUAAAGUUAAUUCUAUGAAUCUAUAUAUUAAAGUGCACCUAACCUCCAAUUUUUUUUCCGCUAAAACAAACCUACUUGUAAUUUGAAAUACUCCUGUGAGUUUUGAAUUCGAUUAAAUCCUCGAUUUUUUGUGCUCCGACGAAAUCUCAAAAUCAUGGAGGCAAGGUGCACUUAGCUUUACUGCAAAUUACCGACGAUAGCCGACAUUUUAUGCUACUCCAAGCUGGGUCACAACCUUGUUUAAGCCUUCCUUCUUAGUUCUUAUUACAGAAAUUUAAACCUUCUAGGAAAGUAUGGGAAAU
rnacentral:misc_RNA from 1 species